rnacentral:lncRNA from 1 species
GUUGUUGUUGUCGUUAUCGUUGUUUUUGUUGUUGUCGUUUUUCUCGUUGUUCUUGUCAUUGUCAUUGUUGUCAUCGUCGUCAUUGUCGUCGUUGUUAUUGUUGUAGUUUUUUUUUGUUGUUGUUCUUGUCAUUGUCGUCGUCUUCUAUGUUGUUGUUGUUGUUGUAUUUAUUGUAUUUGUUGUUGUUGUUGGUGGUGGUGUUGUUGUUGUUGUUGUUGUUGUUGUUGUUGUUUCUGUUGUUGUUGUUGUUGUUGUUGUUGUUGUUGUUGUCGAUGUUCUCGCUGCUCUCAUCAUUGUCGUUGUUUUCGUCAUUGUUGUUGUUGUCGUUG